AGAGGGUGCAAGCGUUAAUCGGAAUUACUGGGCGUAAAGGGCGCGUAGGGUUGUAUAAUAAGUUGGAUGUAAAAGUCCCGGGCUCAACCUGGGAAGGCCAUUCAAAACUGUGAUACUAGAGUUCAGUAGAGGGAAGUGGAAUUUCCGGAGUAGCGGUGAAAUGCGUAGAUAUCGGAAGGAACACCAGAGGCGAAGGCGACUUUCUGGACUGUAACUGACACUGAGGCGAGAAAGCGUGGGGAGCGAACAGGAUUAGAUACCCUGGUAGUCCACGCUGUAAACGAUGAAAACUAGCCGUUGGCCCUUUCGGGGGUGAGUGGCGCAGCUAACGCGAUAAGUUUUCCGCCUGGGGAGUACGGCCGCAAGGUUA
rnacentral:rRNA from 1 species